rnacentral:rRNA from 1 species
GACGAACGCUGGCGGCGUGCUUAACACAUGCAAGUCGAACGGUAAGGCCCUUCGGGGUACGCGAGUGGCGAACGGGUGAGUAACACGUGGGUGAUCUGCCCUGCACUUCGGGAUAAGCCUGGGAAACUGGGUCUAAUACCGGAUAGGACCACUGCCUGCAUGGGUGGUGGUGGAAAGCUUUUGCGGUGUGGGAUGGGCCCGCGGCCUGUCAGCUUGUUGGUGGGGUGAUGGCCUACCAAGGCGACGACGGGUAGCCGGCCUGAGAGGGUGACCGGCCACACUGGGACUGAGAUACGGCCCAGACUCCUACGGGAGGCAGCAGUGGGGAAUAUUGCACAAUGGGCGCAAGCCUGAUGCAGCGACGCCGCGUGAGGGAUGACGGCCUUCGGGUUGUAAACCUCUUUCAGCACCGACGAAGCGCAAGUGACGGUAGGUGCAGAAGAAGGACCGGCCAACUACGUGCCAGCCGCCGCAGUAA